rnacentral:rRNA from 1 species
CCCUUAGAUACCCUGGGCUGCACGCGCGCUACACUGAUGCGCUCAACGAGUUUUCCUUGCCCGAGAGGGUUGGGUAAUCUUCUGGAAAGCGCAUCGUGAUGGGGAUAGGCGCUUGUAAUUAUUCGCCUUGAACGAGGAAUUCCUAGUAAACGCGAGUCAUCAGCUCGCGUUGAUUACGUCCCUGCCCUUUGUACACACCGCCCGUCGCUCCUACCGAUUGAGCGGUCCGGUGAAUAGUCCGGACCGUACAGUGCACUUCUCGUGCACCGUAUGGAAAGUUCAGUAAACCUUAUCGCUUAGAGGAAGGAGAANUCGUAACA